rnacentral:rRNA from 1 species
GACGAACGCUGGCGGCGUGCUUAACACAUGCAAGUCGAACGGAAAGGCCCUGCUUUUUUUGGGUGCUCGAGUGGCGAACGGGUGAGUAACACGUGAGUAACCUGCCCUUGACUUUGGGAUAACUUCAGGAAACUGGGGCUAAUACCGGAUAGGAGCUCCUGCUGCAUGGUGGGGGUUGGAAAGUUUCGGCGGUUGGGGAUGGACUCGCGGCUUAUCAGCUUGUGGGGGGGGUAGUGGCUUACCACGGCUUUGACGGGUAGCCGGCCUGAGAGGGUGACCGGCCACAUUGGGACUGAGAUACGGCCCAGACUGCUACGGGAGGCAGCAGUGGGGAAUAUUGCACAGUGGGCGGAAGCCUGAUGCAGCAACGCCGCGUGCGGGAUGAAGGCCUUCGGGUUGUAAACCGCUUUCGCCUGUGACGAAGCGUGAGUGACGGUAAUGGGUAAAGAAGCACCGGCUAACUACGUG